UGGGAGCGGAUGCUGCUGGCUCCCCAUCCAGCCGCUCUCCCCGUCCGUGGCCUCUGUUUGCUGCCUCUGUUUAGUACCUCUGUUUGCUGAAUUGGCCAGGUCGAUUGAUGUGGUUCCAAGUUUAGGAGAGAAUUUUGUUCACAGUGAUAGGACAUGGUGAUUUUGAUGACUCACCUGAUCUUAUUCUGACAGAAGAUUUCAGUGGUGUGAAUAAUGCUGGUAUGGGAGACUUAACACGAGUUUCCUUCGUAAGGAGGUCAAAAUGGAGUGAGUGGUUUUUGGAUACAUGGUGGAACCAGACUUCAUUUAUACAGUUUGGUUCCACAAAAAGUGGAGAUAAUGCAGCACUCAAGCAUCUAAUUGAUCACCUAUCAGCUGAAGAAAUGCAAGCGCAUGUUCGAAUAGCAAAAAUGCAGUGCCUCUUCAAUUCCUACUCUUGGGUCCUCACAUGGAAGUCAGGUUGGCCAAUUAACUGACUAUCUCUGUUUGCAACUGGUAGAUGGACAGGGCUUCGAUUCUUGGAGACGCAAUUGAGUACCUGAAGGUGUAACUUCCCAGAAGUCAUCGGAGGAAGACAAGGCAGAGGCAAGUUUUGAGCCAUCAAAAUCAAUGCUUCUCCUGGGAAUCCAUAGGAGGAAAAUGAGGAGAGUGUCAAGCCAUCGGAUAAUGUUGUUACUCUAGAGAAGCUAUUGGAAGAAGAUGGGGCAAGCAUGGAGCCAUCGGAAGACAAUGAUGCUCUUGAGGAACCAAACGAAGAAGAAAAGGCGACUCACAAGCUG